rnacentral:rRNA from 1 species
AACGAACGCUGGCGGCAUGCCUAACACAUGCAAGUCGAACGAGACCUUCGGGUCUAGUGGCGCACGGGUGCGUAACGCGUGGGAACCUGCCCUUAGGUUCGGAAUAACUCCCCGAAAGGGGUGCUAAUACCGGAUAAUGUCUUCGGACCAAAGAUUUAUCGCCUUUGGAUGGGCCCGCGUUGGAUUAGCCAGUUGGUAGGGUAAAAGCCUACCAAGGCGACGUUCCCUAGCUGGUCUGGGAGGAUGAUCAGCCACACUGGGACUGAGACACGGCCCAGACUCCUACGGGAGGCAGCAGUGGGGAAUAUUGGACGAUGGGCGAAAGCCUGAUCCAGCAGUGCCGCGUGAGUGAUGAAGGCCUUAGGGUUGUAAAGCUCUUUUACCCGAGAUGAUAAUGACAGUACCGGGAGAAUAAGCUCCGGCUAACUCCGUG